rnacentral:snRNA from 1 species
UCCCUUUGGCAGCACAUGUACUAAAAUUGGAACGAUACAGAGAAGAUUAGCAUGGCCCCUGAAAGAGGAUGACACACAAAUUCGUGUUCCAUAUUUUU